GAGGUUGUGGUUCAGAGGUAGAGUGCUCACCUAGCAUGUGUGAGGCACUGGGUUCGAUCCUCAGCACCACA
rnacentral:tRNA from 1 species